GUGAGCGAUAAGAUACACGCCUGCCCGAUCGCUGCGAGCAACUCGCCAGAUGGCGUCAUCGAUCGUACAUCGAUUUCCUAUCACGUCUACCAUUGACGCAUCGCUCGCGCGGGAGUGCAGAGCAGAAACAAAAAUCACUUUUCGCGAUUCUUAGUACUUUCCAACAAUAUAUCUAUAGUGAUAAUCGCAAGAAAAACAACAGAAACUACGUCAAUCUUCCUUAAGCAAAUAAAAGUUAAUUACAAAAAUUAAAGUAUCAAUAAAUAUUUUUUACGAUAAUAUUUUUCGAAGCAAAACAACAAGAAACAUAGGAAAAGCAAAGGAUCAUGUGCACAAUAGUUCGGAAAAUAUUCGGACCUUUAAUCAAUAUCAAAUUCAUCAUAAAUAAAGAUGCAAAAUGUAGGAGAAACAUUCCACCGAGUGAGGACAUUGAUACAACAUUUAUUUCAUUUAAUUCAUUUUAGAGGAUUUUUUCUUUUUUUUAAGGAUCCUUUCUAAUAAAAUUAGAGUAAACUGAAGGAAUGUGAAUAAAAAAGAAGCUCGCAAGAUUUAAAUCAUCACUUCUUUACAGUUUACUUGUAUUCGUCGCACAGAACUGCAAGCUAAACAUGACAUCACACAAAGCGAGACACAAAGCGACCAUGAAAAAUUCGCCAGCCACUGACUUCAGUAUAAUCAAUAACUAAAAAAGUGAAAAUCAUCUCGACUAAGCAUUUAAAUCCAUGAGCAAAGUGUAUCAAAAAACGAAUCAAUCGCAGAAAGAUGUUGCCUCGGGCGGAC